GAUUUCUCAGACUCUCAUAGCACUAUUGCAAAAAAGGGUCCCAGGAGGGUCUGUAAUGAGAGUAGACUGGAGUUGGUUAAGCUCCUGCUGUGUUCCUUCAUGUUUGUACUCAAGGACUUUCUCAGGAAAGAUACUGUACUGAGAGAGCUGUUGGUAUGCUAAAGCUAGAGAAAGACAAACCAUCUUCUAAAUGAGACAAUAUAACUCAGACAGUACAACAAUGGACACAGACACCUGCUAACCAGAAGAUUAAAGCUACAAGCCAGAGGCUGAAGAGUUUUGGUAUCACAAGUUUACUGUUAGUGUGUGUCACUGAAGUAAUAGAAAAUGCAAGCUCUGUGGCAAAGCACAAUUAUGCCUGGAAUUUCUCCUCCUCUGCAACAGUGAUAAUUUCGUAUUCAAAUCUUCAAACAAGCGUCAGGACCACUGUUACAAUACAAGCAAGCUCUCUCAACAACAGGGUUUCCAUGCCUGGGGAAACAAAGGUCAGCAUGGUAAAAGUCAGUCUUCUGCAUAGCUACAGCCUUCAACUUGCCCUAGUUGAUAACUGCUGAAGGGAAAAGCAUCAAUAUUAGUGAGAAAUAAUGCAGUGAAAGGCGUUGAAUUCUCAGGCCUGUAAAAUGAAUUAAAAAAAAACAAAACCCCCUAUAUAGCACCUUUCAGCAGAGGGUGUCAGAGCAUUGCACGGACAUUUAUCAGGCCUCAUUAAACCCCAGUGAAAUAGUUAUUCCUCUUUUUUACAGGUGGGGAAACUGAGGCAAAGAGAUUUGCUGAGUAUUACACAGCAAGUCAGUGAUAUUGGGAACAGAACCCUUUGUUCCCAGUCAGCUGCUCUAGUCACAAGAUCACAUUCUGUGCACCAUAAGAGCUCCAGCAGGGACAGCAUCAAUCUAAGAAAAUGAGGGAGACUGUAGGACUGUGACUUGACCUGAAGGAUCUACCUUGGAGAAGAGAGUUUGUU